rnacentral:rRNA from 1 species
GAUGAACGCUGGCGGCGUGCCUAAUACAUGCAAGUCGAGCGAACGGACGAGAAGCUUGCUUCUCUGAUGUUAGCGGCGGACGGGUGAGUAACACGUGGAUAACCUACCUAUAAGACUGGGAUAACUUCGGGAAACCGGAGCUAGUACCGGAUAAUAUUUUGAACCGCAUGGUUCAAAAGUGAAAGACGGUCUUGCUGUCACUUAUAGAUGGAUCCGCGCUGCAUUAGCUAGUUGGUAAGGUAACGGCUUACCAAGGCAACGAUGCAUAGCCGACCUGAGAGGGUGAUCGGCCAGACUGGAACUGAGACACGGUCCAGACUCCUACGGGAGGCAGCAGUAGGGAAUCUUCCGCAAUGGGCGAAAGCCUGACGGAGCAACGCCGCGUGAGUGAUGAAGGUCUUCGGAUCGUAAAACUCUGUUAUUAGGGAAGAACAUAUGUGUAAGUAACUGUGAACAUCUUGACGGUACCUAAUCAGAAAGCCACGGCUAACUACGUG